AUAGAGAUCUCUGAAGAAGGGAAUUGAGAAUUUAGGGUUUGAGAGUAGAUGGGAGUAGUAGAGGCAGAGAGGAGGUAGAAGAUGAUCGGAAUGUAGAGUGAGAGAGAUCAGAUUGGGAGAGAUGAGAGAGAGGUAGAGAAGAGAGAAAGAAGGGUGUUGAGGAAGAAGGAGAAAGAGCCUUGGGAGAAAAAUGCAAUUUGUUAUUCCAUACCAUUUUCCCUUACAACUUAGCUAUUUAUACCCUCUCUAUAUUGUACUAAAAUACAAUUUAUAGAAAAUAGUGGACUAAACUGUAAAAGUAAUAAAUGGGCCUCAAUCUGUGAAGACUCAGGCGCUAUUGGACUGGGUUUGCCUUGAUCUGUUUCCCACUUCAUUACUUAGAUCUCUAUCAUAGUGCUUUACUUAGCCAUUGCUCCUUGGGUUGUUACAUAGCCAUUGCUCCAUGGGUUGUUACAAUUCCCUCCCCUUAAAUCCAUCCUUGUCCUCAAGGAUGGGACUCAUGAAUUUGGUUUUGGAGUUUUCAGUUGCUUCCCCAAGUACCUUCUUGUAACUAAGUUCUACAGUGUCUCUGUUCCCAAAACUGGCAUAGAAUGGGUUGUAAUUAGAAGGAAAAAAAACGCUUUGAUAUCCUGCAAACAUGCAAUUUUGAACUCAUGUGGGGCUCUCCGUAUCACUUCUCGAAAGAGUGAUGGAAACAGGCCAUCUGGUGAAAUCACAACAGACCCACUAGGUAGCGCAUUCCCAUCCUGCUUCAGAUUGAGGAGAAAGCUUCUUGUGAGAUAUGCCUGAACUAUAGCUCUAGCACUCAGGAACAGCAGUUGAUAGCCAUUUUCCUUUAUUGCAGAGAAUAACCGAGCUACGCCAGACUGAGUCCAAUCUUUUCCAACCAGAGGCAUGAACUGGCCUAGGACAUCAGAUUUAGUAAUAGUUCCAUCAACAUCGGAAAUGACAAUUCGAGCAUUCCACUUCCACAGAUAUAUAUGUGCAUCCACCUGUUGCUUCCCAAGAACCCUAGUAGAGAAUUUAAAGGCUAUCAUAUUUUGACCUUCCUUCAAAUUCAAAGAUGCAAUCUGCUCAUUAGUCGGAAUAUUUGUUCGCACAAAUUGCUUUCUUAGAGACUGACUUUUAGUACUCUGAGCUUGUUCAACUGUCGGGCUCUGUAGAACAGAUUCAUAAUCGAGGAAAAUAUCCUCAUUCGAUGACUUACUGUCACUAUGCUGAAAAGACCUCGAUAUUCUAAAUGGGAUUGGCCAAGGCUUCCAUCUCCUGCUUACAGAUGGCGAGACACCGUCUGCUGUUUCGUCAUUCUCAACAGGGAUAGCAUCCUUUAGCUCGGCUGAGAAGUUUGGACCAAAUACGGCUUUUCCAAGAACGACAUGUUGAAUUUUAGCCCACGGCAAAUACUUGUCUUCAACUCUGACUAUGAGAUUCGUGUUCUUAAUGAUUGUGGGUCCAGAUGACACAAACUCUUCCUCGGAAAUGCGAUAGGCUUCGAAAACUUCCUUGGCAGAUGCACGGCCCAUACGUGGACGUAGCAGGUUCCCACAAAGAGAGAUCUCAAAACCCAAGCCAGAUGCUUGCUUCAUCAAUGUAGGACUAUCAACUUGAUUAAGUUCCCCUUUGAUUGCAGAGCUCUCUGGAGUACUUCUCAAAAUUUCAUUAUCACUAGUUUUUGAAGUAACCAACAACUCACAAGACUCGAUCUCUAUUCUGGUUGUCUCAGUCUCAGUAUUCUUGACUAAAUCACCUUCCUGAACAACCACAUGCAAAUUGAGCUUAUCAUCAUCCUGACUAAUAUCUACAGAAGCACUAUGCUUUAAAUCUUCCUGUUUACUCUCUAAAUUCUGUGGUACAUCAUUUCCUAAGUUGGAAAUAGUGUUAAUUUCUGUUUUCUCCAUUUGUUCUUCACUAAGAGAAGAAAGCCCCGUAGUUUCUUCUGAAUCCUCAUUUUCAACCGGCGACAUCAAAUCUAAACAGCUUUUGAAAGUUUCCUCUCUACUCAGCCCCGCACGAACCUGCUCCAAUUUGGCUUCGCAUUUACCAACACUACGAGCCUCUUCAUCAUCAAUUGCAACCUGUAAUUUUCUAUAUGUUUCCCCUUUUGCGGCUUCUGGUUCAACCCCUUUAUCAACUCCUUUUGUAGCCUUUAGUGUGUUGAAAAUUCUGUGUUUACAUUGACGUCCAGAGAAAAACUUCUCUCCAUCUUUGAAACAUAAUCCUUGCAAUCUCUUUUGCUUGCCGGUGGAAGUCCUUCCUGCAGGGUUAUAAUUUGCACCCUUCUCUGAAUAGUGAGCAACAUUCCCAGCAGUGACAGUGGUAUACUCCAAUUGUGUUGAAGGAAUAUAGACAAGUGCUAACUUCAAUACCUUUUGUUCUUCUUCUAUUCUCUACAGCCUAUGAGUUGUUGGUGGAAGUUCUUUACCCUGAUUUGCUCUAAUGGGCCAUGGAACAAUAAUAUCUCUAAGUUUGCUUCUCUCUGAACUUGAAUGCUCUAUGUGGCGUGUUUCGACUUUUGGAAUUGGCUUGGUAGGAGAUGGUUGAGUUGCAUGCAACCUCAGCAAUCCCUCCGGUCUGCUGGCACUGUCACUCAGCUUUACCUCAUGCCCAUUAUAGUCCUCUAUAUGUAGAAUUUCAAUGUACUUUUGCUCUACUUCCUCCACUGCAGCUGGUUGGUCGAUUACAGAAUUAAGUAGUGAACUAACUCUUUUCUCUAGAGGUAUGGAUAUAGGUAUUAGCUCUUUCUCUUCUUUUGGAACCUGCACUGCUGUCCCUUUAUCUCUAGCAUGCACAGAUCGGCUCCUAAUCAACUCUAGGAGUUGUUCAUGUCUGCGGGCAUUCUCCUGCAUCAUGAUUUUGUGCCUCCUUGCCUCUUCCUUUCGUAGUGCUUCAAUUCCUUGUGCCAAGACAUCUAACUUUUGAUUGAAAUCCUGAGCACUUUGUAACGUUCUUUCAAAGCUUUUGUUAUAGCCAGUGGUAAAUUGCUGUAACUUUGUUCCAUUAACCAUUUUUUACUCCUCUUUGAAUUGCUUCACUAUUGUAUUUAAACUGAUUUUCCAAUGGAUUUCUUCUAUUGGCUCCAAUAAACUAUUGAGGUGCCUAUGAUGCUAUUUGAGGCCUGAUGACUAUUCCAAUCAAGAGAACAAUAACCAGCUGUCUACUCCCUCAAUGUAUUUCCAUUUGUAGCAAUUUAACCAAUUGUAUCUCAACUCUAGAAUUAAAAUUGGGGAGCCAAACUUGAUUACCUGAUGCUCAAAAGGUGCUUGAUGAAAUUCCCAUUCACUGCUCCAAUUUUAACUAUGAUAUACUAUGUACCAAGAACCUGUUGCUUCUACGAUCCCUCUACCAAUUUGAUUUAAGUAGCAGUGAUAAGGAUUCUUGUGAUGCUUAUCAGGUUUGAUUCCUUAUUAACCAAUUCUUGCACACAUACAACAAAGAUUUCUACAAUACCUGAUGUUGCAAUCUGAUACCACUUUGUUACCGCAGUGGUAAUGUCUCCAGUCACUGUUGCAAUCCUUCCAAUUCAGAUUUGAUGCUACCGCUUGAGUUCUUGCUCCAGGUACUACACGAGAUCCCUUAGCGCUCCAUUCUUGUGAUACCCCACCAUGAUGCAAGUAUCAGUUUCAUCCCUUUCCUGGGAUCGAAACUGCUCUGAUACCAAUUGUUAUGGCUCAGCUUGUUUAGCUUCUAAUAUUGGUGAGCAUCCAGAGAUGGAAUUGUCGCAGGUUAAAUUCCACCCCGAUCUGAGCCAAGUAAUCUCAACGGAGAUCCAAUCGAAGAUGCAACACUCGAUAAGAAUGCUUAUCGAAGAUGAUGGCGUCGAUGAAGAACGGAUCGCUGAUACACAUAGAUCAAGCNGGUGAGCAUCCAGAGAUGGAAUUGUCGCAGGUUAAAUUCCACCCCGAUCUGAGCCAAGUAAUCUCAACGGAGAUCCAAUCGAAGAUGCAACACUCGAUAAGAAUGCUUAUCGAAGAUGAUGGCGUCGAUGAAGAACGGAUCGCUGAUACACAUAGAUCAAGCUGUAGAUCUGAUACAAGCUCUGAUGCUCAAAGGAUCCGCCUCGUAAUUGAGAUCUCUGAAGAAGGGAAUUGAGAAUUUAGGGUUUGAGAGUAGAUGAGAGUAGUAGAGGGAGAGAGGAGGUAGAAAAUGAUCGGAAUGUAGAGAGAGAUCAGAUUGGGAGGGAUAAGAGAGAGGUAGAGAAGAGAGAAAGAAGGGUGUUGAGGAAGGAGAAAGAGCCAUGGGAGAAAAAUGAAGUUGUUAUU
rnacentral:lncRNA from 1 species